rnacentral:rRNA from 1 species
CGGGACGGGUGAGUAAUGGUCUGGAACUCGCCGAUGGGAGGGGGAUAACUACUGGAAACGGUAGCUAAUACCGCAUAACGUCGCAAGACCAAAGAGGGGGACCUUCGGGCCUCUUGCCAUCGGAUGUGCCCAGAUGGGAUUAGCUAGUAGGUGGGGUAACGGCUCACCUAGGCGACGAUCCCUAGCUGGUCUGAGAGGAUGACCAGCCACACUGGAACUGAGACACGGUCCAG